CCGUUGAAAGUCACAGCUACACAGGUAGUGAAACGUUGUUGUGCUUGUCAUAGCGGCUGUUGGCAUUUCUGCCUGAGGCUAGAGAGAUCUGACGCCGUUUCUCCGCUAGUAGUUGACAUUUUGCGCCGACACUUUGGCCUCCCUCAGGUCCCCCUCAUCCCACCUCCCUUGCAAUAGACCACAGCAGCAGUUAAAUUAAGGCCCAAGAGGCAGACAUCCUGCAGCAGACUGAAAAGGCAGAAAACCAGUUGCAUGAAUGAAAUGAGAACAUGAAGACUGUUCCCUAAAAAAAAUUGAAAGUUCUCAGCUGACCAUGUGUCAGGCAAUGACAGAAAUGUCAAGAUGAGGGUGAGGCAGAGGACAAGGACGCAGGAAAGGUGGUCCUGCCUGCAUCUACAGUCUGAUCAUCAGUCUUCAGCCCUAUCUGUGCUGCCAGUGUGGACAUUGAUACAAAGACUUCAGGCUCAGAAGAUGACAGACCGUCUAUCCAGCCAUCACACCAAGAGCUGAAGGGGUGAAAGCAGAGGCCACUUGUGG